AUGGUCAUGACACUUAAAGGACUACCAUCAGAACUCGAAUUUGUUCGUAACCAGAUUUUAUCAGGUACUAUUGUUCCUAACUAUGAUACAGUUAGCGAACAAUUGUUGCGCUUGGCUACACCUCAUACGUUUGGCCCGGUUUCUCCUCCAUCUAUUGCUAUUCCAACACCAGGUGACACUGUUGCUCUUGCAUCUCUUGGCAACAAUCAGAAUCUCCUUCGAAGAGGGUCAUCCAACUCCAAACCUCGUCCUAAGUGUGACCAUUGUAACCGACUUGGACAUACUAUCGAUCGUUGCUGA